rnacentral:tmRNA from 1 species
CGUGGGUUCAAAUCCCAC